UACGGGAGGCAGCAGUGGGGAAUAUUGCACAAUGGGCGCAAGCCUGAUGCAGCCAUGCCGCGUGUAUGAAAAAGGCCUUCGGGUUGUAAAGUACUUUCAGUCGUGAGGAAGGUGUUAAGGUUAAUAACCUUAGCAAUUGACGUUAGCGACAGAAGAAGCACCGGCUAACUCCGUGCCAGCAGCCGCGGUAAUACGGAGGGUGCGAGCGUUAAUCGGAAUUACUGGGCGUAAAGGGCACGCAGGCGGUUAAUUAAGUUGGAUGUGAAAUCCCCGGGCUUAACCUGGGAAUGGCAUUCAAGACUGGUUAGCUAGAGUCUUGUAGAGGGGGUUAGAAUUCCAUGUGUAGCGGUGAAAUGCGUAGAGAUGUGGAGGAAUACCGGUGGCGAAGGCGGCCCCUGGACAAAGACUGACGCUCAUGUGCGAAAGCGUGGGGAGCAAACAGGGAUUAGAUACCC
rnacentral:rRNA from 1 species